GAGGAGCAAGCAAACCAGAGCAUGGCCAGGUACCGGAAAACGGUGCACGAACUGGACGAUGCUGAAGAGAGAGCAGGAAUGGCGGAAUCCGCUCUGAAUAAACUCCGCACCAGGCACCGCCUCUCCACCGGCAAAACGUUCACCUCCAUGGAGAUCAUCCAGGUCUCCAAAUCCGCCAGCUCCAAGUCAGUUUCCGAGGAAUAAAACCCCCCCUCUGGCCCUGUAGCUGUCUGACAGGCUAAGCAUCUCAGACGGCUGCACCGUGGGAAGAUUGCUCGCUGCCGUGGGGAGGACUGGAGCAGCCCGAAGACUUUUAUAAAGGCACUUGCAAGGAAGUAGAAGGAGAGUGGAAGGAGGGAAGAGCUUCUUGGCCCUUUGGGGGAAGAAAAGGGGUUCGCUAACCAGCCGUCCAAGCGUCCGAUGUUCUUCAUCAAGAAGAUGAUGGCCCGAAGACAAGUUCUCAGAGUCAAGGCGUCUGUUCUGAAUGCAGUUUGGUUGCGUUUUCAUGUCAAGGACGGAAAACGUUAGGGGGGUCCAAUUUGGGUUGUCUCUUGUAAAUGCUACCCUACUUGGAGCAAUCUUCAUGUUUAAUCUGAAUAAAGCUUCAUCCUUUGGAAAAGAAA